rnacentral:rRNA from 1 species
AGAAUGAACGCUGGCGGCAUGCCUAACACAUGCAAGUCGAACGAAGUCCUUCGGGGCUUAGUGGCGCACGGGUGCGUAACGCGUGGGAAUCUACCCUUAGGUUCGGAAUAACAGUUGGAAACGACUGCUAAUACCGGAUGAUGACGUAAGUCCAAAGAUUUAUCGCCUAGGGAUGAGCCCGCGUAGGAUUAGCUAGUUGGUGUGGUAAAGGCGCACCAAGGCGACGAUCCUUAGCUGGUCUGAGAGGAUGAUCAGCCACACUGGGACUGAGACACGGCCCAGACUCCUACGGGAGGCAGCAGUGGGGAAUAUUGGACAAUGGGCGAAAGCCUGAUCCAGCAAUGCCGCGUGAGUGAUGAAGGCCUUAGGGUUGUAAACUGCGUUUUACGGGGGACGUAAAAAAGGGCUUUUAGCUCACUUGACGGUACCUGGGAAUAGCACCGGCUAACUCCGUGCCAGCAGCCGC